rnacentral:rRNA from 1 species
AACGAACGCUGGCGGCAGGCUUAACACAUGCAAGUCGAACGCCCCGCAAGGGGAGUGGCAGACGGGUGAGUAACGCGUGGGAAUCUACCCAGAUCUACGGAACAACAGAGGGAAACUUCUGCUAAUACCGUAUACGCCCUACGGGGGAAAGAUUUAUCGGAUUUGGAUGAGCCCGCGUAAGAUUAGCUAGUAGGUGGGGUAAUGGCCUACCAAGGCGACGAUCUUUAGCUGGUCUGAGAGGAUGAUCAGCCACACUGGGACUGAGACACGGCCCAGACUCCUACGGGAGGCAGCAGUGGGGGAUAUUGGACAAUGGGCGCAAGCCUGCUCCAGCCAUGCCGCGUGAGUGAUGAAGGCCGUAGGGCUGUAAAGCUCUUUCACCGAUGAAGAUAAUGACGGUAGUCGGAGAAGAAGCCCCGGCUAACUUCGUGCCAGCCGCCGCGGUAACAC